rfam:Ricinus communis cultivar Hale ctg_1100012362551, whole genome shotgun sequence.
AAAUCAUGAUAUAGACAGCUGCUCAGCAAAUCCUUGAACCAUUCUCAACAAUCUUACAAAGUUUCAUUCUCUUGUUGAAGAAACCCUGCUAUAUCAUUCCUCAACUU